UGGGGUGUAGCUCAGUGGUAGAGCUCUUACCUAGCGUGUGUAUGAGCCUGGGUUCCAUCCCCAGCACUACAG
rnacentral:tRNA from 1 species